GACGAACGCUGGCGGCGUGCUUAACACAUGCAAGUCGAACGGAAAGGCCCUGCUUUUGUGGGGUGCUCGAGUGGCGAACGGGUGAGUAACACGUGAGUAACCUGCCCUUGACUUUGGGAUAACUUCAGGAAACUGGGGCUAAUACCGGAUAGGAGCUCCUGCUGCAUGGUGGGGGUUGGAAAGUUUCGGCGGUUGUGGAUGGACUCGCGGCUUAUCAGCUUGUUGGUGGGGUAGUGGCUUUCCAAGGCUUUGACGGGUAGCCGGCCUGAGAGGGGGACCGGCCACAUGGGGACUGAGGUACGGCGCAGAAUCGUACGGGAGGCAGCAGGGGGGAGUAUGGCACAAUGGGCGGAAGCCUGAUGCAGCAACGCCGCGUGCGGGAUGACGGCCUUCGGGUGGUAAACCGCUUUCGCCGGUGACGAAGAGUGAGUGACGGUAAUGGGUAAAGAAGCACCGGCUAACUACGUG
rnacentral:rRNA from 1 species